rnacentral:tRNA from 1 species
AUUCUUCUAGUAUAUAUAGUACAUUUGACUUCCAAUCAAAAAGUUUGAUUAUCAAUCAAGAAAAAUA